rnacentral:rRNA from 1 species
AGUGAACGCUGGCGGUAGGCCUAACACAUGCAAGUCGAACGGCAGACCAGUACGAGCUUGCUCUUACGGGUGGCGAGUGGCGGACGGGUGAGGAAUACAUCGGAAUCUACUAUUCCGUGGGGGAUAACGUAGGGACACUUACGAUAAUACCGCAUACGACCUUAGGGUGAAAGCAGGGGAUCUUCGGAUCUGGAGCGUUCGAAUGAGACGAUGUCGGAUUAGCUAGUUGGCGGGGUAAAGGCCCAUCAAGGCGUAGAACCGUAGCUGGUCUGAGAGGAUGGACAGCCACACUGUAACUGAGACACGGUCCACACUCCUACGGUAGGCAGCAGUGGGGAAUAUUGGGCGAUGCGCGCGAGCCUGAUCCAGCCAUACUGCGUGGGUGAAGAUGGCCUUCGGGUUGUAGAGCCAUGUUGUUGGUAAAGAAAAGCAGCAGGUUAAGACCCCGCUGUUCUGACGGUACCCAAAGAAUAAGCACCGGCUAACUUCGUG